UACGUAGAGGGCAAGCGUUGUCCGGAAUCAUUGGGCGUAAAGAGCGUGUAGGCGGCCCGGUAAGUCCGCUGUGAAAGUCCAGGGCUCAACCCUGGGAUGCCGGUGGAUACUGUCGGGCUCGAGUCCGGAAGAGGAGUGUGGAAUUCCUGGUGUAGCGGUGAAAUGCGCAGAUAUCAGGAGGAACACCAAUGGCGAAGGCAGCACUCUGGGACGUGACUGACGCUGAGACGCGAAAGCGUGGGGAGCAAACAGG
rnacentral:rRNA from 1 species